rnacentral:lncRNA from 10 species
CUUGGACUUACACCAGUGGUUUUCCAGGGGCUCUGGAGCCUUUGGCCACAGACUGAAGGCUGCACUGUUGGCUUUUCUACUUUUGAGGUUUUGGGACUCAGACUGUCUUCCUUGCUCCUCAGCUUGCAGAUGGCCUAUUGUGGGACUUCACUUUAUGUCUGUUGCCCCAUCAGUGCAGAAUUCCAAUGGGUCCACAAGUGUGGGCAUGCAACAAGACUCAAAGCAAGUACAAGACCAAAGUGAAAUGUGACCUGCAGCUUUGAGAUGUCUCCUAGAAUGAAUAAUCUCCAGCUCUUCCGGCAUAGCCCUCUAGGAAUUCCAGCUGAGAGCCUGCCAGUAGCCUACCAGGGCUCCUCCCCUUCCAGAUGCUGACCUCUCAUCUUUGUCACUUCCACAUCACAGACUGUCAAUAACUCCUAUAUGCUUUGGAGAAGAUGUCUACUAACUACUUGGCCUCCAGCCUCCACAUAACUCGAGAAUUUGACAAGUGUCUUGAAAGAAAAACUGAUGAUGGGUCAGGAUCAGUCUUCCCUGCUCAGUAGAUCCUUACCCCUCAAGUCUUUCCACUACUACAAGACACCAAAAGCUUUCCUGGUUUCUCUAUCUCCUCUACCUAGAGAAUACCAGGUUCUCAGACAUUAGCUCUAGGUCCAAAAUCAAGCCGGUUUUUCUUUUGCAGGGAAAAACUGGCCGAAUAGUGUUAACUCACUAGUCUUCCCCUUUCUGGAAUCUUGGCAUUUCUAGUUUUGGUUGCCCUAGCAGCUCUCCAAUGCCUUUAAACAGAUGUCUUCUGCUUCUAUUAGGCUUGUUCUUGGCUGAGGCCUUGGUCUGCUGGAAAAUACUGCCACAUACGCAGAAGUAGAAGUCUCUUGAGACAUCAUCUUAUUAGUUAUUUAUUGCCAUGUAACAAAUUACAUGGAAACUUAGUGACUUAAAGAAACAAUAAAAAUUUAUUAUCUCACAUUUUCUGUGCAUCAGAAUUCUGUGGGAUAGGAGCAGCAUAGCAGAUGGUUCUGGCAAAGAAUCUCUCAUAAGGUUGUAGCCCAAUGUUGCCUCGGGCUUGAGAAUGAGCUUCCAAAAGAGUUCACCCUCAUGACUGCCAAGCAGGUGCUGGCUAUUGUAAGAAAGUCUGUCCGUUUUCACACAGGCCUGUUACGAGUAUUUUCAUGACAUGGCAGGUGACUUCACCACAAUAAGGGAAGCAAGAACAGGAAAAAUGGAAGUGUGCAUGUCUUCUAUGACUGAGCCUUAGAAAUUACACUCUUUCCUUUCUGCAAUAUCCUAUUAGUUACGCAGAUCAGUCUUAUUAAAUGUAGAAGAAGAUACACAGAAAACAAACACCAGGGAACAGAAAUCAUUAUCAGUAAGGCCUAUCUAAAAGAAAAUUAUAUUUAAAAUAAAAUUCUUCAUAUAGAUGGAGAAAUUUAAGAAGUUGUUUUGCUGCAGUAAUGAUCAUUACAAAAUAACUACAAAGUUGUGCUUCUAGUGUUGGUUGCAAUUCUGCUCCUAUCUCAUGCACCUUCUUCAUUCAAGGAUCCAGGCUUGAAUAGCAACCUGCAUCUGGAAUAUGCUAUUCUGGUGACAGAGGGAAAUAAGAGCAAGAACCAUAGCACACAAAGGCCCUCAAUUGUUUACUUAGCUAUGGUAUACAUCACUUCUGCCUACAUUUCAUUGACCAAAGCAAGUCAUAUGGCCAAACCAGAUAACAAUGGAGUAUGAAAGUACAUUUCUCUAAUAGACAGGCACUGCUAGUACCAUGGUAAUCAUAGGGAUAUAUAUCAUAUUUCAGGGAAGUAAAGAAUGAAUAAUUAGGAUCAAUAAUAAAAUCUACCAUGAAUAUCUAGUAUGCACAAAGCAGUCAUAUAAUAAUAAAUUCUAUUUAAAAAGGGCAGCUCAGCUGGGUGCACAUAGCCACAUUUAUAAUUCUGGCUUCAGUCUUGAAAAGAAGAAAACUGUCAAACCAUUUCUACUUUUCGAGGCUUUUAAUUGUUUUCUCAUUUUUAGUCAUGUUUCAGUGAAAUACUUUGGAUAAUAUCAUGAUUACCAAAUCAGUAACUUCAUUUUUUAUUCUACUUUAAAAUUACAUUUAUUCUACUUUAUAAAUGAAGUAUGAAUCUGAUCCAAUUGUAUUCAAAUGACAUUCUAAAAAAAGUAUAUAGAAAAACAAACUGAGAACAAUCUAAGAAUGUUUUAUAAACUAUCUGGAAAGAUUGUUAGGUAUCAAUUGUGGAAAAAGAUUAGAAUCAAAUCUUAAAAUUUUUUACUUAGUAUUUUUCUAAUAAUUCAACAUUACUAAAAAUUAAAUUGAUACUAUAAUAAUUAAUGACCUUUAGUCCUGACAUGUAGAAUGUGUCCAUUCUCUGAGAUAAUACAAUGACAAAAUUAUUAUGCUUAAUACUACACCCAGAAAUAUUAUUUUUAGCAUCCAAACUAGAUUUUUCAUAUUUAUAAUUGUGCAUGGAAACAAUCUGAUAAUCAUAUUUUAAGACCAUAUAUUCUGACAUGGAGUUGCAGAACUGUGAUGAUCAUAAGCCUAUAUGUCUGAAAAGAAUACAUUGUGACUAAGACUUACACUAAACACAAAACAACACUGAUUUCUAGUAUCUUUUGCCAGAUAUACAGCUCUACUGUCCUUGUUUAGGUUUGCUGAUUCAAAUUUCUGUAAGAGUUGGGGUGGUCUUAUGAGGGUAGGAGGAAUUCUAUGCUAACAUUGGAAUGAAGCACAAGAAAAAUUAAAAGUUUUACAACCAUAUGGAAUGCAGUGACUUAUCACUUGAUAAAACAGAAUUUAACUGUUCAAGCCCUCAGCUAUGUAGUUUGGUUCAGCUCUAAUUAAUAAUAUUAAUUCCAUUCAUGUUCUUGGGUUCUAGUUUUCACAGCUUUCAUAAAACUAAUUCUAACUUUUAUACAAUUGAAUGUCCACAUAAGCCAGGCUAGCUAAUAUAUAUUAGUUUGAAAAAUUGCUUUUAUGUGAUACUUCACCCAAAUACUUUUUUUCUAUCUAAUAUCUCUAUCAACCAGGUAAGAAAUUGUUUUCACCAUGCAAUCUGUCAAAAUUACCAAUUUUACAAAAACAUUGGCAUCAAUUUUUCUUUUUCUUUUUCUUUAUUUCUUUUUUUCUGAGAUGGAGUCUGGCUCUGUGCCCAGGCUGGAGUGCAGUGGCGCGAUCUCGGCUCACUGCAAGCUCCGCCUCACGGGUUCACGUCAUUCUCCCGCCUCGGCCUCCC